AUCGCUUCUCGGCCUUUUGGCUAAGAUCAAAGUGUAGGUUUAAAAGAAAACACAUUUGCCUUUCAAAAUUACUUUCGAGGUUAUGAAAAUUCGAUAAAACGUUAUUUCUAGAAAAUGUCAUUUCGGUCUUCUGACAGGUAACCCCAUU